rnacentral:rRNA from 1 species
UGGUGGAGCAUGUGGUUUAAUUCGAUGCAACGCGAAGAACCUUACCUACUCUUGACAUCCACAGAAUUCGGCAGAGAUGCCUUAGUGCCUUCGGGAACUGUGAGACAGGUGCUGCAUGGCUGUCGUCAGCUCGUGUUGUGAAAUGUUGGGUUAAGUCCCGCAACGAGCGCAACCCUUAUCCUUUGUUGCCAGCACGUAAUGGUGGGAACUCAAAGGAGACUGCCGGUGAUAAACCGGAGGAAGGUGGGGAUGACGUCAAGUCAUCAUGGCCCUUACGAGUAGGGCUACACACGUGCUACAAUGGCGUAUACAAAGAGAAGCGAACUCGCGAGAGCCAGCGGACCUCAUAAAGUACGUCGUAGUCCGGAUCGGAGUCUGCAACUCGACUCCGNGAAGUNGGAAUCG